rnacentral:rRNA from 1 species
UACGUAGGGAGCAAGCGUUGUCCGGAAUCAUUGGGCGUAAAGCGCGCGUAGGCGGCCUCAUAAGUCCGUUGUGAAAGUCAAAGGCUCAACCUUUGAAAGCCGAUGGAUACUGUGAGGCUAGAGUCCGGAAGAGGCGAGUGGAAUUCCUGGUGUAGCGGUGGAAUGCGCAGAUAUCAGGAGGAACACCAAUGGCGAAGGCAGAUCUCUGGGCCGUAACUGACGCUGAGGAGCGAAAAGCAUGGGGAGCGAACAGG